CGUGCAAGUCGGUCUGCCGCCGUUUCGUUCCGAUUUCGAUCGGAACUGGAAAGGAGGAAAGUCCGGGCAACAUAGAGCACCAUACUUCCUAACGGGAAGGAGUUUGGCUGGCGACGGUCAAACUACAGAAAGUGCCACAGAAAAUAUACCGUCCUGAUCCCGAUUGCUAUCGGGAUGGGAUAAGGGUGAAAAGGUGGGGUAAGAGCCCACCGCUCCAGUGGUGACAUUGGAGGCAGGGUAAACCUUAUGGGUUGAAAGAUCAAAUAGGCCCCGGGCAAAGAGCUGCUCGUUCGAUUUCUGCUUUGCAGAAUUCCGGGGUGGGUAGAUCGAUGGAUCCUGACUGUGAAGUCAGGGCUAGAUAAAUGGUAGACCAUCUCUCCUUAUUGGGAGCAGAUGACAGAACCCGGCUUACAGACUUGCACAUUUC
rnacentral:RNase_P_RNA from 1 species